AGAGUUUGAUCCUGGCUCAGAACGAACGCUGGCGGCGUGCUUAACACAUGCAAGUCGAACGCGAAAGGGACUUCGGUCCUGAGUAAAGUGGCGCACGGGUGAGUAACGCGUAGAUAACCUGUCUUUGUGUCUGGAAUAAUACUUCGAAAGGGGUACUAAUACCGGAUAACCUUGCUUUUCACAAGUUAUGCAAGCAAAGGUGGCCUCUGAUACAAGCUACUGCAUGAAGAGGGGUCUGCGUACCAUUAGCUAGUAGGUGGGGUAAUGGCCUACCUAGGCGACGAUGGUUAGCGGGUCUGAGAGGAUGAUCCGCCACACUGGCACUGGAACACGGGCCAGACUCCUACGGGAGGCAGCAGUGAGGAAUAUUGCGCAAUGGGGGCAACCCUGACGCAGCGACGCCGCGUGAGUGAGGAAGGCCUUCGGGUCGUAAAGCUCUGUCAAGAGGAAAGAAGUGCAUAAUGGUUAAUACCUGUUAUGUUUGACGGUACCUCUAAAGGAAGCACCGGCUAACUCCGUGCCAGCAGCCGCGGUAAUACGGAGGGUGCAAGCGUUGUUCGGAAUCACUGGGCGUAAAGGGCGCGCAGGCGGUAUGGUAAGUCAGAUGUGAAAGCCCACGGCUUAACCGUGGAAGGGCAUUUGAAACUGCCAGACUUGAGUACCAGAGGGGAAAGUGGAAUUCCCGGUGUAGAGGUGAAAUUCGUAGAUAUCGGGAGGAAUACCGGUGGCGAAGGCGACUUUCUGGCUGAGUACUGACGCUGAGGCGCGAAAGCGUGGGGAGCAAACAGGAUUAGAUACCCUGGUAGUCCACGCCGUAAACGAUGUCAACUAGAUGCAGGGGGUGUUGAUCCCCUCUGUGUCGCAGCUAACGCAUUAAGUUGACCGCCUGGGGAGUACGGUCGCAAGAUUAAAACUCAAAGGAAUUGACGGAAU
rnacentral:rRNA from 1 species